UUGAAUGUGAAGGAGACUGCCCAUGCGCCCAGCCAAUUUACCAACACCACCAGGCUUCCUCCCACUCCCUUCAUGUUUAUGGGGAAGAUCUGUUCCAGAAAUCGCCAUGUGAGUGAUUCUUCUGAAUUGAUUGGAUGAUAUGGAAAUUGUCAUAAUAAUGUCAUGUUGUUUAGGGUUUUGAGUGUUGUAUACCUCAGACAUGAUCACCCAGGGCACUGCUCCCAUUCCAAUUGAGAAUGCAGAAAUGUACACCUGAUUUUUUCAUUUCACAGUUUUUAGAUCAAUAAAAAACCAUAACUCUCAAUUUUGCAGAGAAAAUUGAAGACUGUGGUUCGUGAAUUUACCAGUACGCCAGAUACAGCUAGGAUAGGCACCCAGUCGAGCAGCAAAUCGUGGCUCUGGUUCAGUGACGAGUCGUUAGGAACAUUGUUUAGGGCUUUCAAUAAAAAAAA
rnacentral:lncRNA from 1 species